CCUACGGGAGGCAGCAGUGAGGAAUAUUGGUCAAUGGCCGAGAGGCUGAACCAGCCAAGUCGCGUGAGGGAAGACGGCCCUACGGGUUGUAAACCUCUUUUGUAGGGGAGCAAAGCGAGUCACGUGUGAAUCAUUGACAGUACCCGAAGAAAAAGCAUCGGCUAACUCCGGGCCAGCAGCCGCGGUAAUACGGAGGAUGCGAACGUUAUCCGGAUUUAUGUGGUUUAAAGGGAGCGCAGGGGGAGGUGCAAGUCAGCGGUCAAAUUGCGGGGCUCAACCCCGUACUGCCGUUGAAACUGCAUCCCUUGAGUGCGCGAGAAGUAUGCGGAAUGCGUGGUGUAGCGGUGAAAUGCAUAGAUAUCACGCAGAACUCCGAUUGCGAAGGCAGCAUACCGGCGCGCAACUGACGCUCAUGCACGAAAGCGUGGGUAUCGAACAGGAUUAGAUACCCUUGUAGUC
rnacentral:rRNA from 1 species